AUACUUACCUGGCAGGAGAGAGACGGUGAUCACAAAGGUGGUUUUCCCAGGGGAGGCUUCUCUAUUGCACUCUGGAUGUGCUGACCCCUGCAAUUUCCCAAAAUGUGGGAAACUCAACUGCAAAAUUUGUGCUAGUGAGGGCCUGAGUUUGCAUUCUCCCCAG